AAAUAUUGAUGUCUUGGAAAAUAAAGCUAAAGUAAACUGUCAAUGAAACUUACGUAAAUGACUAAUUUUUAUUUUUUUUUAAAGAGAACUCAAACUCUCAGCAUCAGCCAGCUGGCAUGUUCAAAGUCUGUCUGUAAAUAUUAAAAGCUUUUCCCUGGCAAGAAUACCAAAAUAUUACUGGUAUCUCUGGCAUGUAAUUCAAAUAAAGAUGAAGUAAACUGUAAAUGUUAUCACAAAGCUUAAAUAGUCCUGAUAUCUACUAAAUGUAGAGCUUCAUUAUGACAGGCUGACAUAACCUCAAGUAGUGCUUGAGCAACAAGGACUGUGUUGGGUGAUUUCCUGUUAAGUACAUGAAGUGUUUUAAUAAGAGGCAUUUUUUUUUUUUUUUUUUUUAAUGUAACUUGGCACUUUUUCUGUGUUGUUGCUGAUAACCCACUCCUCUCUCGCUCUUCAUGCAGCAAGCCUCAGGCUGGACUGAUGUAUUACCUAGUUAGGUUUUCCUAAGACUCAUCCAUGAAGUUUGAGACCUCCUGAGACUUUUUGCUCAGCACUUAUGCCAAAUACCCUGUACUGUUUGGAGAAGGUUGACCUGGCAGCACAUGUGCUGAAGGACACACUGAGGACUUCUGGUUACAAGGUGGCCCUGGAUGGACACAUCCAGCCCAUUGUGUGAGUACUUCCAGUGACUGCCCAAGGCACAGGCAGGGACACAGAGACUCAGGAGAGGACAACCAUACAUUUGGAACUCCUGGAGAAAUAAAGCAGCUGCCCGAAGUGCAUUCAGAGAAGAGUGAGGAAGAUGAUUCUGGGAGAAGCUGGCUGUCAGCAGCCUUAGCUGUUUCUGGUUCCUGGAAAAUGUGUCUCUUACAGCCAAAGUGAAAGCUCAACACACUCUCCAAUACUCAGACAUGAAGAGACAUGAAGUCAUGAAGUAGAUAUGUGGUGACUGCCAGCUAUCCAGACAGACCUGCUGAUCAGAGGAUCAGACUCACUAUGAUAGCAGCUGGGAUUUUCCAGCCCAGGUCACCCUGCUGAAGUCCCAAGGACAGACUGACGUCGGUCCCUGCCCUGUCAGUACGGCUGUGCCCACAUGGCCCAGCUCUGCAGCCCACUGAGAGAGGUGGCAAAGGUGUCUCUUACCCAGACACCCAGCGCUGACAUGCCUGCUCACUGAAUAAUGUGUCCUGAAACCAUUCUGAUGCUCUGAAUAAUUCAAACCUACUAAAAAUAUGUCACUUUUAAGUAUAAUUAGACAGCUAUUAUCCUUUGAAACUGAGUAACUAUACCCAAAUUAUAAUAAAAAAGGACAAAGAUAUGGAACUGUGGUACCU
rnacentral:lncRNA from 1 species